rnacentral:rRNA from 1 species
UACGUAGGGUGCAAGCGUUUGUCCGGAAUUAUUGGGCGUAAAGAGCUCGUAGGCGGUCUGUCACGUCGGCUGUGAAAACCCGAGGCUCAACCUCGGGCCUGCAGUCGAUACGGGCAAACUAGAGUACUGCAGGGGAGACUGGAAUUCCUGGUGUAGCGGUGAAAUGCGCAGAUAUCAGGAGGAACACCGGUGGCGAAGGCGGGGUCUCUGGGCAGUAACUGACGUGGAGGAGCGAAAAGCGUGGGGAGCAACAGG